GGCGGUGUAGCUCAGUUGGUUAGAGCGCAGGACUCAUAAGCCUGAGGUCAGUGGUUCAAUUCCACUCACCGCUACCA
rnacentral:tRNA from 1 species